rnacentral:rRNA from 1 species
AACGAACGCUGGCGGCAUGCCUAACACAUGCAAGUCGAACGAGACCUUCGGGUCUAGUGGCGCACGGGUGCGUAACGCGUGGGAACCUGCCCUUAGGUUCGGAAUAACUCCCCGAAAGGGGUGCUAAUACCGGAUAAUGUCUUCGGACCAAAGAUUUAUCGCCUUUGGAUGGGCCCGCGUUGGAUUAGCUAGUUGGUAGGGUAAAAGCCUACCAAGGCGACGAUCCAUAGCUGGUCUGAGAGGAUGAUCAGCCACACUGGGACUGAGACACGGCCCAGACUCCUACGGGAGGAAGCAGUGGGGAAUAUUGGAAAAUGGGCGAAAGCCUGAUCGAGCAAUGCCGCGUGAGUGAUGAAGGCCUUAGGGUUGUAAAGCUCUUUUAACCGGGAUGAUAAUGACAGUACCGGGAGAAUAAGCUCCGGCUAACUCCGUG